GAUGAGAAAAAGACAGACUUGAAAACGAUGGGAGACUUGGUACAGAACCUUUGGUACAUCCAUAAUGAAUUCCUUUGAGGAGACAUGACGAAUGGAUUGUCCUGUGGCUUUUGUGCUAAUGUUCUGGAUGUUAAAUACUUAACAGAGUUCAGAUGCCGGCUGAGACGAUGGGCGAUGGGUCUCAUGACUCAUGGCUGGACAACUGAAAGAGGGAAACUGUGAAAUGACUUCAAGAUCCAAAGAAGAGAGCUCUGGAGAACCAUGUGCCGUUUCCGUGAAAUUCCUCUUGGAAUCCCUCUUCAGUCAUGCACUCUAAGUGAGAGUCACAUAAUUUGACAAGAACUUCUUCAGAAACUUUCAAGAGCUUCCUGUCUGGUCUCAGUCCACAUCGACAGGCCCGCUGCUUCAUGCCCUGGCUGCACCACCAGCACAGAGAAAACAGAUAGAGGGCCAUGCAGGUCGGCAGGUCGUAGAGAUACGCCGUUAUGAAGAUCACAAACAGAACAGCAUACACAAGAGCCUUGGCCAUGUGACCCAGCGAGCAGAGCUCCCUCCACCAUGAUAACAGCCUACUGCUGUUGCCGUCCACCCAGGACAGAUGUUGUCUGAAGGAGGUGCCUGGAUGAGAAAAUGCUAACUGUUGGAUAGAUCGCUCCUUCGUCUUUGGUGGCAGAAAACAAUGUAGUUUGUCCCUCCAUUGUUGUCCCAGAAGAUUCCAACAGCACUUUCAUACCGCAGACAAAACUCCACCCGCAACCCUUCGACCUGGAAUGGAGG